UUGGGACACUUAUUGAAAGACAAUAACUGGAUCUAUACCCGGGGAAGAGCUAAGGUUGUAAUGCAAAUGGGAAUCCCAAUGCAGCAUGUACUAAGAAAACUCUAGUAACUGCUCUAAGACACAUUUCCUGGUCUACACUGUCACUGGAACAUUGAAAUGGAAAACUGAUCAGCACAUACUAGUUCAUUAAAAUUAUCAUGGAAAGGACCCCAAAGAGAGAAAUGUGUGACAGGCAACAUUCUCAAGGCAUUUUGGAGCGUGCAUCAACUCAACUCACUUCAUGAAAAAUAAGAGAAGAUGGAAUCCUGCUUUUCCUUUCAGGGUAAAUAAUAGUCUCCAUGAAAUAAAAAAAAUCUCAAUGAAGAACUCCAGACUGAACAGUGGGCAGAAUGAAGUCCACUGAUUGGCCAUUAUGAUGAAUUUAAGUGUCCAGCCACCCAUCCCAUGAAAGCC
rnacentral:lncRNA from 1 species